rnacentral:tRNA from 1 species
ACAGAAGUGGCGGAAUUGGAAAACGCGGCUCUAGGAGAAGCUGCGAGAUUUCUUCUCCUUUCAGCGAUAUCUCACUUGCAGGUUCAAGCCCUGCCUUCUGUU